AACCUAGGGCUAGGGGAUAGGCGGCGAGUUAGAUCGAAUAUCGGGUGUAGAGUACACGAGUGGCGUCAACGGGUUGGCGUAACGCGUAAGUAACUUGCCCCAAGGUAAGGAAUAACGUCGAGAAAUCGGCGCUAAUACCUCAUAAUGCAGCGGAUCCGCAUGGAUAUGUUGUUAAAGGUUUACCGCCUUGGGAUUAGGCUUGCGUCUGAUUAGCUAGUUGGUGUGGUAACGGCACACCAAGGCUACGAUCAGUAACUGGUCUGAGAGGAUGAUCAGUCACACUGGAACUGAGACACGGUCCAGACUCCUACGGGAGGCAGCAGUGAGGAAUAUUGGGCAAUGCUCGAAAGAGUGACCCAGCAACGCGCGUGGAGGAUGAAGGUAUUCUAUAUUCGUAAACUCCUGUGAGAGCAGACGAAAGACAGAUUAUUAAUCUGGAUGACUGUAUGCUCAGAGGAAGCCCCGGCUAACUACGUG
rnacentral:rRNA from 1 species